rnacentral:rRNA from 1 species
AUUGAACGCUGGCGGCAGGCUUAACACAUGCAAGUCGAGCGGUAACAGGGGAAGCUUGCUUCCCGCUGACGAGCGGCGGACGGGUGAGUAAUGCAUAGGAAUCUGCCCGAUAGUGGGGGAUAACCUGGGGAAACUCAGGCUAAUACCGCAUACGUCCUACGGGAGAAAGGGGGCUYCGGCUCCCGCUAUUGGAUGAGCCUAUGUCGGAUUAGCUGGUUGGUGAGGUAAWGGCUCACCAAGGYAACGAUCCGUAGCUGGUUUGAGAGGAUGAUCAGCCACAUCGGGACUGAGACACGGCCCGAACUCCUACGGGAGGCAGCAGUGGGGAAUAUUGGACAAUGGGCGCAAGCCUGAUCCAGCCAUGCCGCGUGUGUGAAGAAGGCCUUCGGGUUGUAAAGCACUUUCAGCGAGGAAGAACGCCUGUCGGUUAAUACCCGGCAGGAAAGACAUCACUCGCAGAAGAAGCACCGGCUAACUCCGUGCCAGCAGCCGCGGUAAUACGGAGGGUGCAAGCGUUAAUCGGAAUUACUGGGCGUAAAGCGCGCGUAGGUGGCUUGAUAAGCCGGUUGUGAAAGCCCCGGGCUCAACCUGGGAACGGCAUCCGGAACUGUCAGGCUAGAGUGCAGGAGAGGAAGGUAGAAUUCCCGGUGUAGCGGUGAAAUGCGUAGAGAUCGGGAGGAAUACCAGUGGCGAAGGCGGCCUUCUGGACUGACACUGACACUGAGGUGCGAAAGCGUGGGUAGCAAACAGGAUUAGAUACCCUGGUAGUCCACGCCGUAAACGAUGUCGACCAGCCGUUGGGUGCCUAGCGCACUUUGUGGCGAAGUUAACGCGAUAAGUCGACCGCCUGGGGAGUACGGCCGCA